AGCAACAGAGAAGAUCUGCACUUGACGUUAAUUAAUUAUACAUACUGGAAUGUUUAUCAUUCGAUACAAUUUUUACGUUAGGGAAGGUCUCCAGACUAUUGUGGCUCUCUCUUUACAAGAGAGCUAUACCUGUAAUGGGUAUAAAAGAUGCGUUGCCUCUGGUUAACGUGCUUUCUCUAUCUUUUGGCAAAAACAAAGUUUGAGUUUCAGAAGCUCUAGAGAUUGCUAUUUCACUGGUCAUAGUUAUAGUUAUUGCGGAUACUAUUUCUCUUGAUCUUUCUUUGUAAAGACCAUGAGAAUAGUUAACAGAAUGGAGACUACUCUCUCAAGUUGC
rnacentral:RNase_MRP_RNA from 2 species